rnacentral:rRNA from 1 species
UGGGGAAUAUUGGACAAUGGGCGAAAGCCUGAUCCAGCAACGCCGCGUGAAGGAUGAAGGUCUUAGGAUUGUAAACUUCUUUUGACAGGGAAGAUAAUGACUUUACCUGUAGAAUAAGCACCGGCUAACUUCGUGCCAGCAGCCGCGGUAAUACGAAGGGUGCCAGCGUUACUCGGAAUUACUGGGCGUAAAGAAUGCGUAGGCGGACUUGUAAGUUAGGAGUGAAAUCCCUGGGCUCAACCUAGGAACUGCUUUUAAAACUGCUUGUCUUGAAUGUCGGAAUGAUUAGGGGAAUUCUUGGUGUAGGGGUAAUAUCCGUAGAUAUCAGGAGGAAGACCGGAAGCGAAAGCGCUUAAUUAGCCGAAUAUUGACGCUGAUGCAUGAAAGCGUGGGGAGCAAA